GAUAAACGCUGGCGGCGUGCCUAACACAUGCAAGUCGAACGCCCUGGAGCAAUUCAGGGAGUGGCGGACGGGUGAGGAACACGUGGGUGAUCUGCCUUGAGGUGAGGAAUACCGGCGAGAAAUCGCCGACAAUACCGCAUAGGUUCGUAAGAACAAAGUCGCAAGACGCCUUGAGAUGAGCCUGCGUCCGAUUAGCCAGUUGGUGGGGUAAUGGCCUACCAAAGCAGCGAUCGGUAGCUGGUCUGAGAGGACGAUCAGCCACACUGGGAUUGAGAACGGCCCAGACUCCUACGGGGGCGA
rnacentral:rRNA from 1 species